UAGUGUAAAUGUUUUGAGAAGUGUAUACAAUAUAAAAUGGUACUCACAGUCCUUACAAAUGAAUAAGUACCUACUAAAGAUGUUGGUCUGUCGGAAGCCAGUAAUAUUUUUAGUCAACUGUUUUAUGUCAAAGUUUACUUUGCGCUUUUCUGUACUGUAAGGCAAAUCAAUGUCUCGUAUGUCAAUCAUGACCAUAAAUAUGAUAUUUGUGUAUCAUUCGGUUGUAGUAUAAUAUCUGGACUUCACAAUAUCCGGCUAUACCGUCACUUGUGGAGAUUUUGAAGUCGUUGAAGUCAAAAAUGCGGAUUGUACAUCACAAAAAUAAGGCUCUAAUCAAUCAUCGUUGGCUGGGGUCCUACGUGACGCAAGCGGAGAGCGAGAAUGCGAGUGCAGCAGCUACCGGAAACGCAAGUACAUCAUCUACCGAGAACGCGGACGCAAAUGGAAACUCUCCUUGACCGAGCGCUUCAGUGGUGCCAACCGUGCUUCCUG
rnacentral:misc_RNA from 1 species